AAAAAAGGUAAGCUACUAAGAGCGAAUGGUGGAUGCCUUGACUGGUAAAGGCGAUGAAGGACGUACUAGACUGCGAUAAGCUACGGGGAGCUGUCAAGAAGCUUUGAUCCGUAGAUUUCCGAAUGGGGCAACCCAAUGUAUAGAGAUAUACAUUACCUAUAUAGGAGCGAACGAGGGGAAUUGAAACAUCUUAGUACCCUCAGGAAAAGAAAUCAAUAGAGAUUGCGUCAGUAGCGGCGAGCGAAAGCGCAAGAGGGCAAACCCAGUGCUUGCACUGGGGGUUGUAGGACUGCAAUAUGCAAGAGGUAAGUUUAGCAGAACAUUCUGGAAAGUAUAACCAUAGAGGGUGAUAGUCCCGUAUGCGAAAAACAAACCUUAGCUAGCAGUAUCCUGAGUAGGGCGGGACACGAGGAAUCCUGUCUGAAUCCGGGUCGACCACGAUCCAACCCUAAAUACUAAUACCAGAUCGAUAGUGCACAAGUACCGUGAGGGAAAGGUGAAAAGAACUGAGGUGAUCAGAGUGAAAUAGAACCUGAAACCAUUUGCUUACAAUCAUUCAGAGCCCUAUGUAGCAAUACAGGGUGAUGGACUGCCUUUUGCAUAAUGAGCCUGCGAGUUGUGGUGUCUGGCAAGGUUAAGCAAACGCGAAGCCGUAGCGAAAGCGAGUCUGAAUAGGGCGCUUAGUCAGAUGCUGCAGACCCGAAACGAAGUGAUCUAUCCAUGAGCAAGUUGAAGCUAGUGUAAGAACUAGUGGAGGACUGAACCCAUAGGCGUUGAAAAGCCCCGGGAUGACUUGUGGAUAGGGGUGAAAGGCCAAUCAAACUUCGUGAUAGCUGGUUCUCUCCGAAAUAUAUUUAGGUAUAGCGUUGUGUCGUAAUAUAAGGGGGUAGAGCACUGAAUGGGCUAGGGCAUACACCAAUGUACCAAACCCUAUCAAACUCCGAAUACCUUAUAUGUAAUCACAGCAGUCAGGCGGCGAGUGAUAAAAUCCGUCGUCAAGAGGGAAACAACCCAGACUACCAGCUAAGGUCCCUAAGUCUUACUUAAGUGGAAAACGAUGUGAAGUUACUUAAACAACCAGGAGGUUGGCUUAGAAGCAGCCAUCCUUUAAAGAAAGCGUAAUAGCUCACUGGUCUAGUGAUUUUGCGCGGAAAAUAUAACGGGGCUAAAGUAAGUACCGAAGCUGUAGACUUGCGCACAACUUAGAUUAUUUAAGUUUAGAAUAUGAGAAACUAAGUUAUGUUUAGUUAUAUUUUUACUGAUUUUUAUAGAGUAAAGAUAGAAAUAAAACUUAGUAAAAUCAGUAAAAAUAUUCUUAGGCUAAAGUUAAGUAGUUUAAGUUGUGUGCAAGUGGUAGGAGAGCGUUCUAUUUGCGUCGAAGGUAUACCGGUAAGGAGUGCUGGAGCGAAUAGAAGUGAGCAUGCAGGCAUGAGUAGCGAUAAUUAAUGUGAGAAUCAUUAACGCCGUAAACCCAAGGUUUCCUACGCGAUGCUCGUCAUCGUAGGGUUAGUCGGGUCCUAAGUCGAGUCCGAAAGGGGUAGACGAUGGCAAAUUGGUUAAUAUUCCAAUACCAACAUUAGUGUGCGAUGGAAGGACGCUUAGGGCUAAGGGGGCUAGCGGAUGGAAGUGCUAGUCUAAGGUCGUAGGAGGUUAUACAGGCAAAUCCGUAUAACAAUACUCCGAGAACUGAAAGGCUUUUUGAAGUCUUCGGAUGGAUAGAAGAACCCCUGAUGCCGUCGAGCCAAGAAAAGUUUCUAAGUUUAGCUAAUGUUGCCCGUACCGUAAACCGACACAGGUGGGUGGGAUGAGUAUUCUAAGGCGCGUGGAAGAACUCUCUUUAAGGAACUCUGCAAAAUAGCACCGUAUCUUCGGUAUAAGGUGUGGUUAGCUUUGUAUUAGGAUUUACUCCGAAAGCAAGGAAACUUACAACAAAGAGUCCCUCCCGACUGUUUACCAAAAACACAGCACUCUGCUAACUCGUAAGAGGAUGUAUAGGGUGUGACGCCUGCCCGGUGCUCGAAGGUUAAUUGAUGGGGUUAGCAUUAGCGAAGCUCUUGAUCGAAGCCCGAGUAAACGGCGGCCGUAACUAUAACGGUCCUAAGGUAGCGAAAUUCCUUGUCGGUUAAAUACCGACCUGCAUGAAUGGCGUAACGAGAUGGGAGCUGUCUCAAAGAGGGAUCCAGUGAAAUUGUAGUGGAGGUGAAAAUUCCUCCUACCCGCGGCAAGACGGAAAGACCCCGUGGACCUUUACUACAGCUUGACACUGCUACUUGGAUAAGAAUGUGCAGGAUAGGUGGGAGGCU
rnacentral:rRNA from 1 species